UCCGAGUUGACCCCGGCAGUCUCUCAUGAGUCCCCGGCAUAACCCGCUGGCAACAUGAAACGAGGGUUGCGCUCGUUGCGGGACUUAACCCAACAUCUCACGACACGAGCUGACGACAACCAUGCACCACCUGUACACCGCCCCGAAGGACCCCACAUCUCUGCGAGUUUUCGAUGUAUGUCAAGCCUUGGUAAGGUUCUUCGCGUUGCGUCGAAUUAAGCCGCAUGCUCCGCCGCUUGUGCGGGCCCCCGUCAAUUCCUUUGAGUUUUAGCCUUGCGGCCGUACUCCCCAGGCGGGGCGCUUAAUGCGUUAGCUACGGCACGGAGAUCGUGGAAAGACCCCCACACCUAGCGCCCACCGUUUACGGCGUGGACUAC
rnacentral:misc_RNA from 1 species